rnacentral:rRNA from 1 species
UGGGGAAUAUUGGACAAUGGGCGAAAGCCUGAUCCAGCCAUGCCGCGUGUGUGAAGAAGGUCUUCGGAUUGUAAAGCACUUUAAGUUGGGAGGAAGGGCAGUAAGCGAAUACCUUGCUGUUUUGACGUUACCGACAGAAUAAGCACCGGCUAACUCUGUGCCAGCAGCCGCGGUAAUACAGAGGGUGCAAGCGUUAAUCGGAAUUACUGGGCGUAAAGCGCGCGUAGGUGGUUCGUUAAGUUGAAUGUGAAAGCCCCGGGCUCAACCUGGGAACUGCAUCCAAAACAGGCGAGCUAGAGUAGGGCAGAGGGUGGUGGAAUUUCCUGUGUAGCGGUGAAAUGCGUAGAUAUAGGAAGGAGCACCAGUGGCGAAGGCGACCACCUGGGCUCAUACUGACACUGAGGUGCGAAAGCGUGGGGAGCAAACAGG